rnacentral:tRNA from 1 species
GGGAGUGUAGCUCAGAGGUAGAGUGCGUGCCUUACAAGCACAGAGUCGGGAGUUCAACCCUCUCCUCUCCCA